GACGUAGGGCGCGAGCGUUGUCCGGAUUUAUUGGGCGUAAAGAGCUCGUAGGCGGCUUGUCGCGUCGACUGUGAAAACUCGGGGCUCAACUCCGAGCUUGCAGUCGAUACGGGCAGGCUAGAGUUCGGUAGGGGAGACUGGAAUUCCUGGUGUAGCGGUGAAAUGCGCAGAUAUCAGGAGGAACACCGGUGGCGAAGGCGGGUCUCUGGGCCGAUACUGACGCUGAUGAGCGAAAGCUAGGGGAGCAAACGGG
rnacentral:rRNA from 1 species